AGAGUUUGAUCCUGGCUCAGAUUGAACGCUGGCGGAAUGCUUUACACAUGCAAGUCGAACGGCAGCACGGGAGCUUGCUCCUGGUGGCGAGUGGCGAACGGGUGAGUAAUGCGUCGGAACGUACCGAGUAAUGGGGGAUAACGCAGCGAAAGUUGUGCUAAUACCGCAUACGCCCCGAGGGGGAAAGCAGGGGAUCGCAAGACCUUGCGUUAUUCGAGCGGCCGACGUCUGAUUAGCUAGUUGGUGGGGUAAUGGCCCACCAAGGCGACGAUCAGUAGCGGGUCUGAGAGGAUGAUCCGCCACACUGGGACUGAGACACGGCCCAGACUCCUACGGGAGGCAGCAGUGGGGAAUUUUGGACAAUGGGGGCAACCCUGAUCCAGCCAUUCCGCGUGAGUGAAGAAGGCCUUCGGGUUGUAAAGCUCUUUCAGCAGGAACGAAACGGUACGCUCUAACAUAGCGUGCUAAUGACGGUACCUGCAGAAGAAGCACCGGCUAACUACGUGCCAGCAGCCGCGGUAAUACGUAGGGUGCGAGCGUUAAUCGGAAUUACUGGGCGUAAAGCGUGCGCAGGCGGAUUGUUAAGCAAGAUGUGAAAUCCCCGGGCUUAACCUGGGAAUGGCAUUUUGAACUGGCAGUCUAGAGUGUGUCAGAGGGGGGUGGAAAUUCCACGUGUAGCAGUGAAAUGCGUAGAGAUGUGGAGGAACACCGAUGGCGAAGGCAGCCCCCUGGGAUAACACUGACGCUCAUGUACGAAAGCGUGGGUAGCAAACAGGAUUAGAUACCCUGGUAGUCCACGC
rnacentral:rRNA from 1 species